rnacentral:rRNA from 1 species
AGACGUCUACAUUAGAUACCCCUGUAGUCCCAGCCGUAAACUAUGCGCGUUAGGUGUAUCGGUGACCACGAGUCACCGAGGUGCCGAAGGGAAACCGUGAAACGUGCCGCCUGGGAAGUACGGCCGCAAGGCUGAAACUUAAAGGAAUUGGCGGGAGCACCACAACGGGUGGAGCCUGCGGUUUAAUUGGACUCAACGCCGGGAAGCUCACCGGAUAAGACAGCGGAAUGAUUGCCGGGCUGAAGACUCUGCAUGACUAGCUG